GACCCCCGGGAUAAGAGGGAUUUGAACCACCCGUGGCCUCAUCAAGGUUAUGAGCCUUGCGAGCUACCAAGCUGCUCUAGCG
rnacentral:tRNA from 1 species